rfam:Zea mays cultivar B73 chromosome 9, whole genome shotgun sequence.
AUACAUUUCUCGGCCUUUUGGCUAAGAUAAAAAUGUAAUGUUUGUUCUUAUUAGUUUAAUAUCUGGUAUCUAGACUAUAUGUUCACUUUGAUAUUAAUUUAUUUUUAUUGGUAUUCUUUGUAGGAGGAUUCAUCACAUUGGCUUACUAGGCCCUCAGAAGCCGCUUAGUCAUUGAACUGUUGGUAGAGCCUAACCCAC